rnacentral:rRNA from 1 species
UACGGAGGGUGCGAGCGUUGUCCGGAAUCACUGGGCGUAAAGGGCGCGUAGGUGGCGCAGGAAGUCAACGGUGAAAGUUCGGGCUCAACCCUGAAUCGGCCGUCGAUACUCCUGGGCUCGAGCACUGUAGAGGCAGAUGGAAUUCCGGGUGUAGCGGUGGAAUGCGUAGAGAUCCGGAAGAACACCGGUGGCGAAGGCGGUCUGCUGGGCAGUUGCUGACACU